CCCCUGGUGGUCUAGUGGUUAGGAUGCGGCACCCUCACCCUGCCACGGCCCAGGUUCGAUUCCCGGUCAGGGAA
rnacentral:tRNA from 1 species